CAGUGUGGGGCUCAAUCCCAGGACUCUGGGAUCAUGACCUGAGCCAAAGGCAGAUGCUUAACCGACUGAGCCACCUACGCAUCCCUUUUUUCAUUAUGUUUGAUGCCUUGUAUUCAGAAUUAUACUGUGUGACAUAAAUUUGCCUUAACUGCUUUCUUUGUAUUUGCCUGUGCAAGUGUGGUUGUACUUUUAAUUUUACCCAUUCUUGAUCAUUUUAUGUCUUUUAUUAAUGGCAUUAAGUUGGAGGACUUUUUUUUUUACUUGACUCCAACCUAAGAGUCAUUAGUUUAUUAUAUAUGUUUAAUCCAUUUAUUGCUGUGGUCUUACACAGUCAUUUUAUGCUUCUUUGUGGCCAAUUCUCCAUCUCUCCCUUUCUUUGAUAUCUUGAUCAAGUAUUCUGAAUUGUUCUCUCUGGUUAGUAAUUUAGGUGGAAAAUUUUAUUUUUUAACAUUGGGGUUACCAUUAAACUAAAAAAUUGAAUUUGUAUUUGUCUAAGUUAAAAGUAAAAUAAUAUCUGAUACUGUUUCCAUAAAACUAGAAAUUUAGCAUGCUUUUACAUCUUCUCUCCCCUUGUAACUCAUUUCCCAAUUUGGGUUAGAAUAAUCUGGAAUUUAAGAUUAUGAAAAUUAUUAAACAUUUCGUCUUUUC